GUCACUGGGCCACGCCCCCGAUGCGUAGGCCGGGCAACAUGGCGGCCUCCAUGCGGGCGUCAACGUCCGAUCCAAGCGCCAAAUUCAAAUUCGCGGCCAUCUUGAGCGGGCGGAAUUCAGUCGCGCGCGGUGCAGUCGGGAGGUGGAGGCACCGGCUGCAUUGUUUUCGGGAUCGAGGGGUGAGGGCGCUAUGGCACCCGGCUGCAAAACUGAGUUACGCAGCGUGACAAAUGGUCAGUCUAACCAACCAAGUAAUGAAGGUGAUGCCAUCAAAGUUUUUGUGCGAAUUCGUCCUCCUGCAGAAAGAUCUGGGUCAGCUGAUGGAGAGCAGAACUUAUGCUUAUCUGUGCUGUCCUCCACGAGUCUCCGGCUGCACUCCAACCCUGAGCCCAAGACCUUCACGUUUGAUCAUGUUGCAGAUGUGGAUACCACUCAGGAAUCUGUAUUCGCAACUGUGGCUAAAAGCAUUGUGGAGUCUUGCAUGAGCGGUUAUAAUGGUACCAUCUUUGCAUAUGGACAGACUGGCUCAGGGAAGACAUUUACUAUGAUGGGACCAUCUGAAUCUGAUAAUUUUUCUCAUAACCUGAGAGGAGUAAUCCCACGAAGUUUUGAAUAUUUGUUUUCCUUAAUUGAUCGUGAAAAAGAAAAGGCUGGAGCUGGAAAGAGUUUCCUUUGUAAGUGUUCCUUUAUUGAAAUCUACAACGAGCAGAUAUAUGAUCUACUGGACUCUGCAUCGGCUGGACUGUACUUAAGGGAGCAUAUCAAGAAGGGAGUCUUUGUUGUUGGUGCGGUGGAGCAGGUGGUAACCUCAGCUGCUGAAGCCUAUCAGGUGUUGUCUGGAGGAUGGAGGAAUAGACGUGUGGCAUCAACAUCAAUGAACAGAGAAUCGUCUAGGUCUCAUGCCGUCUUUACAAUUACAAUAGAGUCAAUGGAGAAAAGUAAUGAGAUUGUGAAUAUACGGACCUCCCUACUCAACCUGGUGGAUUUAGCAGGAUCUGAAAGGCAAAAAGAUACCCAUGCAGAAGGGAUGAGAUUGAAGGAAGCAGGUAACAUAAAUCGAUCAUUGAGCUGCCUGGGCCAAGUGAUUACAGCACUUGUCGACGUGGGUAAUGGAAAACAGAGACAUGUUUGCUACAGAGACUCCAAACUUACCUUCUUACUACGGGAUUCCCUUGGAGGUAAUGCCAAAACAGCCAUAAUUGCAAAUGUUCAUCCUGGAUCCAGGUGUUUUGGGGAAACCCUAUCAACACUUAACUUUGCUCAAAGAGCCAAGCUGAUUAAAAACAAGGCAGUAGUAAAUGAAGACACCCAAGGAAAUGUGAGCCAGCUCCAAGCUGAAGUGAAGAGGCUCAAAGAACAACUGGCGGAGCUUGCUUCAGGACAGACACCACCAGAAAGCUUCCUGACCAGAGACAAAAAGAAGACUAACUAUAUGGAGUAUUUCCAGGAAGCAAUGUUAUUCUUUAAGAAAUCUGAACAGGAAAAGAAGUCUCUGAUAGAAAAAGUUACCCAAUUAGAAGACCUCACCCUCAAAAAGGAAAAAUUUAUUCAAUCUAAUAAAAUGAUUGUGAAAUUCCGAGAGGAUCAAAUAAUACGCUUGGAAAAGCUCCACAAGGAAUCCCGGGGAGGUUUUCUGCCUGAGGAGCAGGAUCGUUUGCUCUCAGAAUUAAGGGAUGAGAUUCAAACUCUGCGAGAACAAAUAGAGCACCACCCCAGAGUUGCAAAGUAUGCUAUGGAAAAUCAUUCCCUCAGGGAGGAGAAUAGAAGACUGAGAUUAUUAGAGCCUGUGAAAAGAGCUCAAGAAAUGGAUGCCCAGACCAUUGCAAAACUAGAAAAAGCUUUCUCUGAAAUAAGUGGCAUGGAGAAAAGUGACAAAAAUGAGCAAGGAUUUUCACCUAAAGCUCAGAAAGAGCCAUGUUUGUUUGCAAACACUGAGAAGUUAAAAGCACAACUCCUGCAAAUUCAGACAGAGCUGAAUAAUUCAAAGCAAGAAUAUGAAGAAUUCAAAGAACUUACUAGGAAAAGGCAGCUAGAAUUGGAAUCAGAGCUUCAGUCUUUGCAAAAAGCGAACCUUAAUCUUGAAAACCUUUUGGAAGCAACAAAAGCCUGCAAGCGGCAAGAAGUUUCUCAGCUGAAUAAAAUUCAUGCUGAAACACUUAAGAUUAUAACUACACCAACCAAGGCCUACCAACUUCGUUCCCGACCAGUACCAAAAUUAAGCCCUGAAAUGGGAAGCUUUGGCUCUCUAUACACUCAGAAUUCUAGCAUAUUAGAUAAUGAUAUAUUAAAUGAGCCAGUUCCUCCUGAGAUGAAUGAACAAGCUUUUGAGGCCAUUUCUGAAGAGCUUAGAACAGUGCAGGAACAAAUGAGUGCUCUUCAAGCCAAAUUGGAUGAAGAAGAGCAUAAAAACCUAAAGCUUCAGCAGCAUGUUGACAAACUGGAACAUCAUUCUACCCAAAUGCAGGAGCUUUUCUCAUCAGAAAGAAUUGAUUGGACCAAACAGCAGGAAGAGCUUCUCUCACAGUUGAAUGUCCUUGAAAAGCAGCUUCAAGAGACUCAAACUAAAAAUGACUUUUUGAAAAGUGAGGUACAUGACCUGCGAGUAGUCCUUCAUUCUGCUGACAAGGAGCUUUCUUCAGUGAAAUUGGAAUAUAGUUCAUUCAAAACGAGUCAGGAGAAAGAAUUCAACAAACUUUCUGAAAGACACAUGCAUGUACAGCUUCAAUUAGAUAAUCUCAGGUUAGAAAACGAAAAGCUGCUUGAGAGCAAAGCCUGCCUGCAGGAUUCCUAUGACAACUUACAAGAAAUAAUGAAAUUUGAGAUUGACCAACUUUCAAGAAACCUCCAAAACUUCAAAAAAGAAAAUGAAACUCUGAAAUCUGAUCUGAAUAAUUUGAUGGAGCUUCUUGAGGCAGAAAAAGAACGCAAUAACAAAUUAUCAUUACAGUUUGAAGAAGAUAAAGAAAACAGUUCUAAAGAAAUCUUAAAAGUUCUUGAGGCUGUACGUCAGGAGAAACAGAAAGAGACGGCCAAGUGUGAGCAGCAGAUGGCAAAAGUACAGAAACUAGAAGAGAGCUUGCUUGCUACUGAAAAAGUGAUCAGUUCCCUGGAAAAGUCUAGAGAUUCUGAUAAGAAAGUUGUAGCUGACCUCAUGAACCAGAUCCAGGAGCUAAGAACAUCGGUCUGUGAGAAAACAGAAACUAUAGACACCCUGAAACAAGAACUGAAGGACAUAAAUUGCAAAUACAACUCUGCUUUGGUUGACAGAGAAGAGAGCAGAGUGUUGAUCAAGAAGCAGGAAGUGGAUAUUCUGGAUCUGAAAGAAACCCUUAGGCUGAGAAUACUUUCUGAGGACAUAGAGAGGGAUAUGCUCUGUGAGGACCUGGCUCAUGCCACUGAGCAGCUGAACAUGCUCACAGAGGCCUCAAAAAAACACUCGGGGCUGCUGCAGUCUGCCCAGGAAGAACUGACCAAGAAGGAAGCCCUGAUUCAGGAACUUCAGCACAAGCUAAACCAAAAGAAAGAGGAAGUAGAACAGAAGAAGAAUGAAUAUAACUUCAAAAUGAGGCAACUAGAACAUGUGAUGGAUUCUGCUGCUGAGGAUCCCCAGAGUCCUAAGACACCACCUCACUUUCAAACACAUUUGGCAAAACUCCUGGAAACACAAGAACAAGAGAUAGAAGAUGGAAGAGCCUCUAAGACUUCUUUGGAACACCUUGUAACAAAGCUAAAUGAAGACAGAGAAGUCAAAAAUGCUGAAAUCCUCAGAAUGAAGGAGCAGUUGUGUGAAAUGGAAAACCUACGCCUGGAAAGUCAGCAGUUAAUAGAGAAAAACUGGCUCCUGCAAGAUCAGCUGGAUGAUAUUAAAAGACAAAAGGAAAACAGUGAUCAGAAUCAUCCAGAUAAUCAACAGCUGAAGAAUGAACAAGAAGAAAGUAUCAAAGAAAGACUUGCAAAAAGUAAAAUAGUUGAAGAAAUGCUGAAAAUGAAAGCAGAGUAAGUGUACUAUUUUGUAAUUUAAAAUCUUGAUCAUCUUUUCCUUAUUCUCCUCUAAAGGAAUGAUAUACCACAAGCCUAGAAGAAGUCCAAAGUGCCCUUUACAACAAAGAGAUGGAAUGCCUUAGAAUGACUGAUGAAGUCGAACGAACCCGAACUUUGGAGUCUAAAGCAUUCCAGGAAAAAGAACAACUGAGAUCAAAGCUGGAAGAAAUGUAUGAAGAAAGGGAGAGAACAUCCCAGGAGAUGGAAAUGUUAAGGAAGCAGGUGGAGUGUCUUGCUGAGGAAAAUGGAAAGUUGGUAGGUCACCAAAAUUUGCAUCAGAAGAUUCAGUACGUAGUGCGACUAAAGAAGGAAAAUGUCAGGCUUGCUGAGGAGACAGAAAAGUUGCGUGCCGAAAAUGUAUUUUUAAAAGAAAAGAAAAGAAGUGAAUCAUGAGGAUUCCGGUCAGCUACCUAGGCAUCACCUUGUUUGAAGAUGUUUCUUCUCUUUUACAAGUAAGACCUACUCCUGGCCACUUAGGAGAGCUGAAUUUAUGGACCUUAAUUAUUAAAUGUUUAUAAGGUGGUGGUAACCACCUCAAGUUUCUGAUGAACAUUCUGCAUCCAUAUACACCCUGUGACAGUCAGCAGUCUGCUAUUAAGUGGCCUACUUCGAGGCUUUGAAUCAACUUAAGGGAAAACCUUUUGUCUUUGUAAAAAUAAAAGCCUGUAGCUAAGGUUUACAGUGGACAUUAGCCAGAUCAUUUUCUUCUUAGAUUAUGCCAUAAUCUCCUUUGAUUCUUAUGGAAGUUCUAACAAUAUAUGGUGGUUCCAACACCUGCAGUGAGUUUAAUGACUGACUUAGUAGCAGGUACAAGAAGCAAACUUGUUAAUAUAGAUUAUUUUUGUAUUCUUACUUUAGGUAUUUUCUUGAGCAUUUUCCAUGACUGUAAAUAAAGCCAUUUUUUAAGAUAA